rnacentral:misc_RNA from 1 species
UAAUAAGUGUUUAUGGCACUUCUUAAAUCCAUAUCCACCUUGUGUGCAAUGUCAGCCGUUUUCUUUAUGAAAGCGGCCAAACAUCAACUUAUUUUUUAACUGAUCUGUCUGAAAACUAUUAUGAAUAAACAAUUCAAAUA